CUAGGAUUCCUAGAGUAACGGCGAGUGAAUUAGGAAAAGCCCAGCGCUGAAUCUUACGAUAUUGUGUCGUUAAGAGAUGUGGCGUAUAGGUAUAGUUUUCGAUUUGUUUCAUAUAUCUAAAGUUCCUUUGUUAGGGACCAAUAUCCAAAGAGGGUGCAAGACCUGUAUGGAUAAUGAGACAACGGGUAUAACUAUACUUUGGAGUCGGGUUGCUUGAAAAUGCAGCCUUAAGUUGGUGAUAAACUUCAUCUGAGGCAAAAUAUUGACGCAAAUUCGAUAGCAAACAAGUACUGUGAAGGAAAGUUGCAAAGAACUUUGAAGACAGAGUUCAAGAGAACUUGAAUGUUUAUAGAUAUCAUCGAUCGAUCUAUGAAUCGAAUCGAUAAUGUUAACGUGAACGUUAAUCACCUCUCUGACCCGUCUUGAAACACGGACCGAGGAGUGUAACUUGUACGCAAGUGAAUAGAUGUGAUAAAUCUAUAAGCGUAAUGAAAAUGAAGACACGUGUAAACGGUUAAUAUGGGAGAUAUUUUCGUUAAUAUACGGAAAAUAUUACACCAUGGCCCUGUCUAAUUUGCACAUGCAGAUGGGCAGCGGUAGAGCGUACAGGUUGCGACCCGAAAGAUGGUGAACUAUGCCUGAGCAGGAUGAAGUCAGAGGAAACUCUGAUGGAGGUCCGUAUCGGUUCUGACGUGCAAAUCGAUCGAUAGACUUAGGUAUAGGGGCGAAAGACUAAUCGAACCAUC
rnacentral:rRNA from 1 species